rnacentral:antisense_RNA from 1 species
AAAAAUCAAGAACAAAACCCUGACCUGUUCAGGACAGAAAAGACAAGGCUGGGUUUCCAGCAGAAACCAGAGCGCGGCCAGUGCUGAGGAGUCUAUUCUGAGCACCACGUCCCUUGGCAAUGCCACCGAAAAACAGAGAUCUCCUGGCCGAGAAUCAAAUGAAAACGGACAGGACCGUUUAUACCAACACAACGCCCUCUCAGCCCCAUCGUGCACAAACGCAGCGCAGAGCCCUAGCCUUCAGAGUGGAGCAGCCGAGCCGGGGACUCUGGGCCCCUCUGCCACCCGCAGCCCCAGUGGCCAAGGCCCAGGGCAGCGCAAGGUUGCCCAUCAGGCCUCUCCCGUGUCAUUCCCACCUCAACUUGCCUGCCCAGAGCAGGAAGGGAUGCAGGAGGAAGCAAGACGGCUUACCUGGCCAUGGCUGAAGAAGAGCAGGGCUCCCGAGUACAUGAGCUCCCGGGCCUCCGCGUGCUUGCUCUGGGACAUGUACCUGCCACAGAGAGGAGACCGUGAGCCGCGCCCUCGCCACUGCGCUCCCCCGCUCAUCUUCAGGUCAGAAGCUAAAAACAAGGCGCCCAGGAACAGGUGGCAUCCUAAAAGGGGGUGCUCCCCAUACGCACAGACACUUUUUGCCAAGAACAGGGCAGCCACUCCCAAGGCCCAGGUACUGCAUGGAGGGGGUCUAUCCUGGAUGUCCUGCUGACCAUGAGGGCUGCGUGGGGCGCCUCUGGACACUAAGGGCCUAUCUGUGUCCAAAUACACCAGGAGCCAGAAAGCAGCCUCACCCUGGAGCAGCUCACCGGUUUCAGCAGCUGGGACCAGUAAGGCCGCUGGGCAGGGCAGGUGCGCAGGGAAGGAGCAGGGGAUGUGCGUGUGGCCACCUGAGAGCUGGGCGGCCACAGGCAGGAGCCAAAGGAUGGGGGGCUCCAGGCUGGGGUCCCACGGGGGACAGUAACGGCUGUGACAGCACCUUCUUCCCCCACGGGGCCAGUGUCCCUGCCCUCUGCCCGCCGCAACCCUCCCCCCCACGGGAGGGAAGGGUCUGGGGUGCCCCGUUGCAUCAUGCUCGCCCUGCAUCACGUCCCCACUCCCAGAGCACCGUUGGCAGGGAAAGCUGGAGCUCCUCAGGCUGCACAGAGACAGAGGCACGGGGUGGCGAGAGGUGUGGUGGGGACCAGCGCGCGACAGACGAUGUGGAGAGAAGCCGAGGUGGCCGCGCUGCUGUAAGCAGCAGAGCCCCUGCCUGCGAGAACAGCAGGCGUGGAGGGCAGGAGGCGGCCUCUGCUGGGACGCGCUGCACCUCCCAGGUCCAGUGGUGGGGCCCAGAACAUGUUAUUUCAUUGGCUACACAUUUUUCCUAAUUAUCACCGCCUUACUAUCAAAAGAUACAUAACCAGUUAAUCACCUCUGUGCCUGCGAGCCAAAUGUCCUUGGACAAAACCUUGUUUAAAAAUAAAUCUAGUUAAAGAAAAAUACUAAGUAAACAGCAGUGCAGACCGGAUUCGGGGGCCCACACCUGUAAUCUCAGCCCUUUGGGAGGCUGAGGUGGGAGGAUCGCUUGAGCUCAUGAGUUUGAGACUGGCCUGGGCAACAUAGUGAGACCUUGUCUCUACAAAAAACACAAAAAUUAGCUGGGCAUGGUGGCGUGCACCUGUGGUCCCAGCUACUCGGGAGGCUGAGGUGGGAGGACUGCUUGAGCCCGGGUGGUCAAGGCUGCAGUAAGCCAUGACUGCACCACUGCACUCCUGCCUUGACGGAUGAGAGUGAGGCGCCAUCCCUCCAAAACAAACAAACAAAAAACAAUUGCAGUGGAGGUGAUAAAGAGACACAGCAAUGCCGCUGAGGACCGGAAUGACCUUGAUGUUGCCAGGACGGGAAGGCCAGCCAAGAACGCAAACGGCUGGCUGCUCAGUUAACCACAGAAAAGGGUUCCUCUUCAGAAGGCACCACAGCCAGGGACCCCAAACACAGACAGCCCCGCCACAUCCGGGCAUCUCAUUAGCCUGGCACACAGGCCCUCCCCCCACAGGAGACCCCAUCGGGUUGCACAGAGGCAGGGCACCAGGAGGGAAAAGCCUGCACCCAAGAGAGAAAGUGCCCCCGCCCCCCGUCAGCCUGCAGGCCAUUGGCAGGCCUCGGGUUUUGCUGCGCUCCCUGCACAGUAAAGGUUCUGGAGGGAGACCCACCCCAACACCACAGCAGGAGCCUCGACAGGACCACUGACUCUGUGACCGGCCAUCCUACUUCCAGUCCUGCAGGGCCGUGACUGACUCAGAGGAGGCCGGGAGCCGUCUGGCACAGGGCACUCUGGAAAAACAAGCUCCCAGACACACCCGGCCUCAUGCUGCUGACAGUGGAGCCAUGGGCAGAACUGCAUGCACCCACUCUGAGCAAGCACCACACCAGCUUCUGCUUAUGCCGAUACCACAGCGUUCUGGAUGCUUCUGUCUGAGGUAAAGCAAGAGGUGGCCACUUAGAUACCAGAAGAAAAGAAGGACUCCCUGGAAGGCAGUGACCCAUAUUCCUGCACGAGGAGCCUGUUCUGGGGGGCACUGCCAAUGGUCACGGCCCCUGGCCUGGCUUGGACUGCGCCUUGCGGCUGGCUCCCUUCUUCCCGGGGCAGCUGUGAGCCGGGCAAGGGGAAAAAGGAUGGGAGGAGAAUUCUGGGCAUACAGUGGUCCCCGGCCUGGCUGGGGGCACCCGUUUCCAGGUCCAGGAAUGCCAGUGACGGGCAAACCAUCUAAGGCGGCUCCGAACGUGGACGGCUUCUCCUCCUGUACUGGAGAAUUCUGGGAGCUGCGAAGGAUUUUGGUUUCCAGGUGACUAAGCCAGGACAGGUACCCUCUCAGGCCCGAGGCCGGGGAGAGUGGGGGGAAGCUGGGCAUGGCCGGGCCUUCUCCCGGCCCGGCUCUGCACGCUGCACACUAUUGGCCGUGCUGUGAGGACACCCAGACGUGCCUUCCAGAUAGGGAAACGGCUUCUACCUGCUGACAGGCGCUGAGAGCCAGCGAGCGCUGGUGCUCUCUGCCGGCCAAAACAUCUGUAUCCACAGAGCAAAGGGUCUGGGCAAACAAUCUAGCUGAUUUUGCUCCUCUUACAAAAACAUUAAAAAGCAGAACACAGAAACGCAAGCAUUAGAAGUAGUGGUCGAGACUGUUGAUGUCAAAUGAAGAAAGACCGAGCUCAUGGGGCGAAUCCUGCCCUUCUCUCUUGGCAGAAGGAAGCUGGCUUGCGCAUUCAGCUGUCAGGGACACAUGAAGGAUGAAGAGGAAAUACUCAAGACACACAUAGGUGCCUCGGGACAGGGAGCCAGAGGAGAUUUCACAAGGACCCCUCUGCCGACCGCCGCGAGCUAAAGCGCACUCACGCCCCGAUGCAGGGCUGGCUGGACGCUCCUGUAGGGGCGGCUGAGGCCUGCUCUGCUCUGCCAGCAGUCACUCCGAGAAGGGACCUGAGCCGGCAACUACAGCUCCUUCACAAGACGCUCCUCUUAGGCCCUGGGCUACGGUGUGCACAGCACACACUAGACCAUUUUCCUUUUAAACAUCUCUUUAGAUGACUGAAAACACAAAAGGAGAUCAGAGGCCGCAAUAAAAAAAAUCACGCAAACACAUUGCAGGAGGAACCACGUGGCAGGAGGAGCCAGACCCACGACCGUGCAGGCAGACAGGUGGGCGGCUGCUGCAGGUCACAGCCUUCUGGGCUGCGGUCUCAGCCACAUCAAGUUUCUAAAUGCAAAUCUACAAGUACUACAGCCAAGGCUGAGGCUCCUCAAGGCCUGGAUGGUGGCUCCGAAGUGCCCUGAUAAUCCCAUUGGCCUGGGAGCUGACUCUUCGUCCCAGCAGGGAGAAGUCUGGAGAAAUCAGGUGAUGACCACAACCAGCGCCAUCCCCGGGGCAAGGUCAGCUGCUCUCUAGCGUAACCACGCGAACCAGAAACUGCUGCCCGACUUCUGCGGGGCACACAUCCAGGGACACCAACCUGCUGGGUUCCCAAUUCCUUCCCUCUCCUUCACCUUAAACUGCUGUGGCUGUGAGUUAAAACAGCAUCUCUUGGGAAAGCUUGUACCUGCUGGUGGGAGUGCAAAUUAGUUGAACCAUCCUGGAAAGCAGUCUGGCAAUUCUUAAAAGAACUAAAAACAGAACUACCAUUCGACCCAGCAACCCCACUACUGGGUUAUACCCAGAGGACUCUAAAUGGUUCUACCAUAAAGACGCACGCACUCAAAUGCCCACUGCAGCACCACUCACAACAGCACUGACGUGGAAUCAAGCUGGGGUCUGUCAGCGGCAGAUGGAUAAAGAGAAUGUGGUCCGUAUACAACGCGGAAUACUAUGCAGCCAUAAAAAGGAACGAGAUCAUGCCCUUUGCAGGAACUUGGAUGGAGCCGGAGGUCGUUAUCCUUCGCAAACUAACGCGGGAACAGAAUCCCGGGCACUACACGUCCCCACUUCCAAGUGGAAGCUGAAUGAUGAGAACACAGGGACAGAAAGGGGCCAACAACACACACUGGGGCCGGCCUGAGGGAAGAGGAAGAGGCUCAGAAAACCAUUUUAACAAAACUGUCAGGUACCCACGCUUGGUACCCGGUGCUGAAAUGAUCUGUACGACAAACCCAAGUCACGAGUUUACCUAUAUACCAAGCCUGCACACAGACCUGAGGCUAAAAUAAACAUUAGCAUAUUUAAAAAUAAAUCAACAAAGCCUGCACACCUGCCCGAGGCUAAAAUAAACAUUAGAAUAUUUAAAAAUAAGCCAACAAACAGUAUCUUUUGGUAAAUUUACCCAACAGCUGAAGGGAUAAAUGACUGUACUGGAGACACACAGGGAAAACCACUCAGCGAUAAAAGGAACUGCGGACGCUCUGGAGGAGUCUCCCAGCCUCCGUGGUGAAUGAAUUCAAGCGGUUAGACAGAAAGCACACACUGUGAUUCCACAUACGUAAAACUCCAGGAAACGCCACCUCACCUGAGUGCAGCCCGCAGAUGCACGGGUGCCAGGGAUGGGGUGGGGUGGGAGUGGGGGUGAGGAGGCCUGGUUGCAGAGCCCCGCAGAGCUGUGGUAUCUUCCAUGUCUUGACUGGUCAUAGUUCAUUCAUGUCAGACCUCACCAAAUUAUACAUUUUACAUAAAUAUUUAAAUGUAAAUGUGCAAUUACAUAUAUUUAUUGACAGAAAGGCAUUUUAAAAAAUGGCUGGGUGCUAUGGCUCCCACCUAUAAUCCCCACACUUUGGGAGGCCGGGGCGGGUGGAUCACCUGAGGUCAGGAGUUCGAGACCAGCCUGGCCAACAUGGUGAAACUCCUGUCUCUACAAAAAUACAAAAAUUGGCCAGGCAUGGUGGCGGGCGCCUGUAGUUCCCAGCUACUCAUGAGGCUGAGGCACGAGAAUUGCCUGAACCCAAGAGGCAGAGGCUGCAGUGAGCUGAGAUCACACCACUGCUCUCCAGCCUGAGCGACAGAGCGAGAUUGUCUCAAAAAACAAAAAGCGUAACUUGGGGAAUGUGACUUCUCUGGCAGCGACACACCCAUGGAGUACUCUGAGGCAGAGCUGGGAAUCCACACGGAAUUCUACCCCGGAAAGACAAGGACGGUGUCUCAGCGGAUGACAGCGAGGUGACAGCUGCCGCUGCUGACUCAGUCUUCAUUCCUGGUUUGAAAGGCUCCAAGCCAAGGUUUGAGAGGUUCAGUAACGUGUCCCGGGCCCCGUAAGAGGUGGCGUGUGACCCCAAAGCCCAGGCUUUCCGAGCUAAGCCACACCAUGCCCCUGCCGGGUGACCUCACAAUGUCACAUGUGGCCAGCAGGGCCUGCUGUCUAGAGGGCUUAAGAGAACAGAAUGCUCAUCACUCCCCGUUUCACUGUGAAAAUUCACCCUUGACCAGGGACUCAUCACUGAAAACCAAAACUGACAAAUCCCUCGUCACCGUAGAAGUGGCUCAAAACAAGGAACACCUGUUGAUUUUGGGGGAGAUCCAUUUUUGCUGGUUAAUCAUUGGGCAAAUAUUUAUUUAUUUAUCGAGACGGAGUUUCCUCUCGUCACCCAGGCUGGAGUGCAGUGGCGUGAUCUCGGCUCACCACAACCUCCGCCUCCUGGGUUCAAGCGAUUCUCCUGCCUCAGCCUCCGGAGCAGCUGGGAUUACAGGCAUGCGCCACCACACCCAGCUAAUUCUGUAUUUUUAGUAGAGACAGGGUUUCUCCAUGUUGGCCAGGCUGGUCUUGAACGCCCAAACUCAGGUGAUCUGCCCGCCUCGGUCUCCCAGAGUGUUGGGAUUACAGGCAUGAGCCACUGCGCCCGGCAAACUGGGCAAAUAUUUAUAUACAAAUCCCUAGGCACAGCAGGCAUCAGGGUGAAUCUUGAACGACAUAAAAGUUCCCCAUCACACAGCUCUAUAACUGGCCCCUCUACCCACAGGAAGGCUCGCGUUCUACGGUUUAGUGCCUACUGACACCUUUGCCUUGAUCCCUGAAGAACAAUCAGGUUGAAGGCGCUAUCACAACCCGUGCCAUUUGGGAGCUGCUAAAUGUUCAGUGACAAAUUCAACCAGCAUUAAAAACGUAUCGCUAUAAA